AAAUAAAAUUAUCUUUUCUUAAACUUAAUUUUCAAUUUGUGUCUAAACAGGUUUCAUGUACAUUCUCCAAAGGAAGGGUUGUAAUAAACAAUGGCAGCAACUGACAGAUCACACCAGGCAGCUCAAACAAUAGCUACACUGCUGAUUAUAAGACAUAUCAAGAAUUGUGAGACAAUGUUGAAUUGUUCCUUUCAAGCAUUGAAUGUUUUUCUUUUUUCCCAGAAUGUAUCUCAAAUUAGAACAGAGAUAAAUAUAACAAAUUUUUUACAAAGAUGGAUUUUACAGAUUAUACUAUUUCUUG
rnacentral:lncRNA from 1 species